CUCACAUGAAGAUGUUCUCACGUUUAUGAA
rnacentral:piRNA from 1 species